rnacentral:lncRNA from 1 species
ACUUCUCCUGUCUUCUCAGAGUGAAGAGUGCAGUGGUUCAGUAGAUUGAUUGAUCAAGAAGCCAUCCAUCCUUCCAGAAGGACGUCCAAGCCCCUUUGAACACCCUGUCUAGCACAACCAACCCCGUUGGACCUGCUGGUCAUGCAGCCACAAUGACUGCCUGAUUUAUCCAUGCUGUGGGCAAGGCCCUUUGAGGAAAUAGACAUACAGUUCUAUGUGCCAGCACAGAAAAUGGAUGAAGUAGCUCUUAACGUAUACCAGAAAGUUACAAAAAUCCCCAUGAGAGAAUUACCAUCCUCCAUAGCCCUUUUGCUGGCAAGGAAACUGAAGCUGAGAGAGUGGGAAGAUGCUCAAAGUCACAACACAGCUGGCAGCUGGUAAGUUGGUAAAAUGAGGGUCCAAGAGAACAUUUUCUGACUCCAAAGCCCGCA